CUAAAUUCAAGAUCCAGGAAGUCCCUGCCCACACAAGAAUUCUGAGACUUUUCUUCUGGAUUCAUCCUGCCAAAGCCAGCUCCUAAAGAUCCACAUCAGAAGGCUGUGAAUUCGAACUUGGCACAACAGAUUCUGAUGUCCCAGUCGGCUGAGCUGUCCACCUUCAGGAUUUAUUCUCUCAGCGUGCCUUUAAAGGGUGCCUACUACAAGCAAGCUACACUGAGAAAGCAGCUGCCAAGGAGACAAACCUGCCUCUGCCUCUCACUGCGCUCAGGAGGCAGCAGUCCGCCAGGCAGAGACAGGCACCAGACGAAUAAGCACAAAUGGGCAGCACAGUCAAUAGUCUGGAACCAGAGAGCCUUCUAGAGCCUUCGAAAAGCUCUGCAUCCUGGACAAGACUGUUUAUCCCCUAACUUCUCACCUCUCCGAGGACCGACAUCAACGGUUAACUCCUCUUGCCUCAAGCAAUCUCUACCCCCAUCUCUUUUCUUUCCUAGAAACAAUAUGUGUUGAGUGUUCUCUAUAUGCCUGGCAUUUACUUAUUUACUGUAUAAAUAUUAUUUAUUUAUGUAUUUGUGUAUGUGUGUAUGGUGGGGGUGUGCAUGUGCCACAGCACACAUGUAGAGGUUAGGGGACAGUUUCAUGGAGUUGGUUCUCUUCUUCCACCUUUAUGUGGGUUCUGGGGAUUGAACUGAGAUCAUCCAUCUUGGGCAGCAAGCACCUUUACUAGCCAAGCCCGUUCAUGGCUGUUUUCGGAGUUUGAGUACACUAGUGAAUAAAGCAGGAAAAAAUCCCUCUCUUGGACUUCCUCCUUGUAGAGCUGGGAGGGAGACAACGCAGGGUGAAUCAACUGCCAGCAAUCACGAGGGACUGAGACGCGAUGUGAGACAGUGUGCCGCAAAGACCGCCUAUGGUGAGCAAAUUAAAGAAAGGCGUGAAGAGGAAGGAGGACGGGCAUAGGCGGAAGAUGCAGUCUUUAACAAGGUGGCCAUGAAGGACCACACUGAAAAGGGCCACUGUUCAGAGAGAGUUAAAGAAGAUGAGAACUUGCAUUUGGGCAAUCUGGAAGAGCCAAGGGAUCCGCCAGGGUGAGAACCCUAAGAUGAUACAAUGUGGCUAAAGUGGAGAGAGCUGGGGAUGGGGAUGAACAAUAACUCAGUCUCCGAGGGUACAGAAAAGGCCUGGAACAGUUAAAGAACUUUGACUCUGUGCUCAAAGAUCAGUCUGGCUUCUCUGUAGACAGUAAGCUGUGGUGGGUGGUAAGCAAGCAGGGCAAUCACCCAGGGUCCCGCUGAGGUAAGCCAGGCAAGAUGUGAGCAUGCUCAGGAGCUACAAAGCAACAGUAAAUUAUGGCAGGUUCUAGACUUACUCUGAGGGCAAAACCAGGAUCUCCUGACCAGGGGAGAUGGUAGGGUACAGAUAAGAAAGAAACUAAC